GAUGAACGCUGGCGGCGUGCCUAAUACAUGCAAGUCGAGCGAACAGACGAGGAGCUUGCUCCUCUGACGUUAGCGGCGGACGGGUGAGUAACACGUGGAUAACCUACCUAUAAGACUGGGAUAACUUCGGGAAACCGGAGCUAAUACCGGAUAAUAUAUUGAACCGCAUGGUUCAAUAGUGAAAGACGGUUUUGCUGUCACUUAUAGAUGGAUCCGCGCCGCAUUAGCUAGUUGGUAAGGUAACGGCUUACCAAGGCGACGAUGCGUAGCCGACCUGAGAGGGUGAUCGGCCACACUGGCACUGAGACACGGUCCAGACUCCUACGGGAGGCAGCAGUAGGGAAUCUUCCGCAAUGGGCGAAAGCCUGACGGAGCAACGCCGCGUGAGUGAUGAAGGUCUUCGGAUCGUAAAACUCUGUUAUUAGGGAAGAACAAAUGUGUAAGUAACUAUGCACGUCUUGACGGUACCUAAUCAGAAGGCCACGGCUAACUACG
rnacentral:rRNA from 1 species